CGCCAGCAUCCUAGCCGAAGCGCGGACCUCAGUCCCGGCUGGCCGUAUUACACCCUGGGCUAUAACACCUCCACCGAAGUGGAGGCCACAUUCCCAGAGCCUUUAUCCGGCCGCCGAAACUGAUGCUGGCCUGUCCAAACUGAGUAAACCGGUCAGAAGACCGGCCGAACAGUUUAAACAAGUCUGAUUGCAAGCGCUUCCCUUUCAACAAUUUCACGUGCUUUUUAACUCUCUUUCCAAAGUGCUUUUCAUCUUUCGAUCACUCUACUUGUGCGCUAUCGGUCUCUCGCCAAUAUUUAGCUUUAGAAGAAAUUUACCUCCCAUUUAGAGCUGCAUUCCCAAACAACUCGACUCGUCGAAGGAGAUUUACAUAGGGUGCCAUUUCCUGUCACAUACGGGAUUCUCACCCUCUAUGACGUCCUGUUCCAAGGAACUUAGACAGGCGGCUUCCCCAAAUCAUCCUCUACAAAUUACAAUGCGAACCCGAAGGCUAGCUUUCAAAUUUGAGCUGUUGCCGCUUCACUCGCCGUUACUAGGGCAAUCCCUG
rnacentral:rRNA from 1 species